rnacentral:lncRNA from 1 species
UAGUCAUUUGUACCAAUACUGCUGUCAUUUAAACAAGUGUUACACAAUCCAUUCUGAUAACCAAAUUCACCUAUUUAUGAUGCCGCCUAGUAACAAGUCCGCUGUUUACUUUAAUUUGAUUUAGGUACUUAAAUGCAUGUUUAACUGGUUUUAGCUUUAAAAAACAAUCUUGAACCAUUAGUUUUUUUAGAGUAAUACUUUGAGUAAAUUAUCAGGAUAUUCGUAUUCCAACGGAAAAAGCAAAACUGUUUAGAAUAUGUCCCUCAGGUGGUAAGACCGUAGCUAUCAAUAUUUUCUGAUUUUCUGUGUCAAAAGAAUUAUUUAGUUAGCCAGAA